AGAGAGAGUCCUUACCAUGCACAGAGUAAGUCUGCUGCUCUAGACGCUUGCUCAUCUCACCAGCAGGAGCACGUAUAGCGUGCACUUAAAGAAACAAGAUCUCAUUCAAAUCAGCCAGAUGUUUCUUUCAAUCCCACAGUGCUUCUUUAUUCAUUCGAGCUUCCAGCAACCAGAUGCACUUCAUG
rnacentral:lncRNA from 1 species